rnacentral:rRNA from 1 species
GCUGGCGGCACGCCUAACACAUGCAAGUCGAACGAAGUAGCAAUACUUAGUGGCAGACGGGUGAGUAACAUGUGGGUAUCUACCCUUUGGCCUGGAAUAACACGAGGAAACUUGUGCUAAUACUGGAUAAGUCUUUACGGAGAAAGCUUUAUGCACCAUUGGAUGAGCCCGCACUUGAUUAGUUUGUUGGUGGGGUAAUGGCCUACCAAGACUUUGAUCAAUAGCUGAUUUGAGAGGAUGAUCAGCCACAUUGGGACUGAGACACGGCCCAAACUCCUACGGGAGGCAGCAGUGGGGAAUCUUGCACAAUGGAGGAAACUCUGAUGCAGCGAUGCCGCGUGAGUGAAGAAGGCCCUUGGGUUGUAAAGCUCUUUCGUCGGGGAAGAAAAUGACUGUACCCGAAUAAGAAGGUCCGGCUAACUUCGUGCCAGCAGCCGCGGUAAUACGAAGGGACCUAGCGUAGUUCGGAAUUACUGGGCUUAAAGAGUUCGUAGGUGGUUGAAAAAGUUGGUGGUGAAAUCCCAGAGCUUAACUCUGGAACUGCCAUCAAAACUUUUCAGCUAGAGUUUGAUAGAGGAAAGCAGAAUUUCUAGUGUAGAGGUGAAAUUCGUAGAUAUUAGAAAGAAUACCAAUUGCGAAGGCAGCUUUCUGGAUCAUUACUGACGCUGAGGAACGAAAGCAUGGGUAGCGAAGAGGAUUAGAUACCCUCGUAGUCCAUGCUGUAAACGAUGUGUGUUAGACGUUGGAAAUUUAUUUUCAGUGUCGCAGCGAAAGCGAUAAACACACCGCCUGGGGAGUACGACCG